rnacentral:rRNA from 1 species
GAUGAACGCUGGCGGCGUGCCUAACACAUGCAAGUCGAACGGAAAGGCCCUGCGCUUGUGGCGUGCUCGAGUGGCGAACGGGUGAGUAACACGUGUGUAUCCUGCCCUUGACUUUGGGAUAACUUCAGGAAACUGGGGCUAAUAUCGGAUAGGAUCUCCUGCUGCACGGUGGGGGUUGGAAAGUUUCGGCGGUUGGGGAUGGACUCGCGGCUUAUCAGCUUGUUGGUGGGGUAGUGGCUUACCAAGGCUUUGACGGGUAGCCGGCCUGAGAGGGUGACCGGCCACAUGGGGACUAAGGUACGGCCCAGACUCCUACGGGAGGCAGCAGUGGGGAGUAUUGCACAAUGGGCGGAAGCCUGAUGCAGCAGCGCCGCGUGCGGGAUGACGGCCUUCGGGUUGUAAACCGCUUUCGCCUGUGACGAAGCGUGAGUGACGGUAAUGGGUGAAGAAGCACCGGCUAACUACGUG